ensembl:lncRNA
UGGAGCGGUAUGGGCUGCUAUAAUAGACCAGUAUGGACCAGUAUACACCAGUAUAGACCAGUAUAGACCAGUAUAGAGCAGUAUGGGCCAGUAUAAACCGCUAUAGACCAGUAGAGACCAGUAUAGAUUGGUAUAGACCAGUAUAGAUAAAUAUGGACUGCUAUGGGGAGCUAUAAAGUACUAUGGAAUGGCAUAGACCAGUAUAGACCAGUAUGGACCAGUAUACACCAGUAUAGACCAGUAUAGACCAGUAUAGAGCAGUAUGGGCCAUAUAAACUGCUAUAGACCAGUAGAGACCAGUAUAGAUUGGUAUAGACCAGUAUAGGGCGCUAUGGAGCAGUAUGGGCUGCUAUAAACUACUAUGGAAUGGCAUAGACCAGUAUAGACCAG